GAAAGUUAGACUUGCCUCCUGACUGUGCUGAGGAUCCAGAGUGAAGUGAAGCACUACAGCACACCUCUGGCCUUUAGUUACCGCUGAGACCCCAUGAAGAUUCUCCUGUCCGGCUCUGAAGCCCACCACUCGACCACACUGAGGCUUCACUGCGGCCUGAAGAGACGGGAUUAGAAAAAUCAGUUCUGUGAUUCCUGUCUAAUCAAACCACACAUAGAAGAGCUUUGAGAACUGGGACGUCCUGAAACAUCUCACUCGCUGAAUGAGGGGAUGGCACUGCUUUAAAAGCAUCUUGAAGAGCUGCUGUCUGCAAUAAUGUGCAGAUUGGUUAAUAUAGUGCACAAUAUUUUUAUCCAUUUCUUAGUGAAUAUAGGACAACUCGAUGUGAACCGCUCAGAACCUCGGAGGUCAUGGUUAUGGUGAUGUCAUCAGAUGGGAGUUUGCUGGCAGUAUCUGGAGCAGCAGCUGGUUUGAUUUCUGAA
rnacentral:lncRNA from 1 species